CAUCGUCAGCGGCUGAGCGAAAGCAUUAGUGAUCCACCUGGGAGUACGGUCGCAAGAUUGAAACUCAAAGGAAUUGACGGGGGCCCGCACAAGCGGAGGAACAUGUGGUUUAAUUCGAUGAUACGCGAGGAACUUACCUGGGCUUAAAUGCAGAGCGACGUCCGCCGAAAGGUGGAUUCCUUCGGGCGAUCUGCAAGGUGCUGCAUGGUUGUCGUCAGCUCGUGCCGUGAGGUGUCGGGUUAAGUCCCAUAACGAGCGCAACCCUUAUCGUUAGUUGCCAGCGGGUAAUGCCGGGGACUCUAACGAAACUGCCGGUGUAAACCGUGAGGAAGGUGGGGAUGACGUCAAAUCAGCACGGCCCUUAUGUCCAGGGCUACACACGUGUUACAAUGGUCGGUACAGAGGGCAGCUACCACGCAAGUGGAUGCUAAUCUCGAAAACCGGUCUCAGUUCGGAUUGAAGUCUGCAACUCGACUUCAUGAAGCUGGAUUCGCUAGUAAUCGCGCAUCAGCCAUGGCGCGGUGAAUACGUUCCCGGGCCUUGUACACACCGCCCGUCAAGCCAUGGAAGCUUGGGGUACCUGAAGUCCGUAACCGCAAGGAGCGGCCUAGGGUAAGACAAGUGACUGGGGCUAAGUCGUAACAAGGUAACCAAGGGCGAA
rnacentral:rRNA from 1 species